rnacentral:rRNA from 1 species
GACGAACGCUGGCGGCGUGCUUAACACAUGCAAGUCGAGCGAAAAGACCCGGCGUUUGUGGGGUUCUCGAGUGGCGAACGCGUGAGUAACACGUGAGUAACCUCCCCUUGACUUUCGGGUAACUUCAGGAAACUGGGGCUAAUACCGGAUAGGAGCUCCUGCUGCGUGGGGUGGGUUGGAAAGUUUCGGCUGUUGGGGAUGGACUCGCGGCUUAUCAGCUGCUUAGUGGGGUAGUGGCUUACCAAGGCUUUGACGGGUAGCCGGCAUGAGAGGGUGACCGGCGACAUGGCGACUGCGAUACGCAGCAGAAGGCUAUGGGCGGCAGUAGGGGGGAACAUUGCAGAACGGGCGGACGUCUGAUGUAGAAAUGUUGCGUGCGGGAUGAUCGGUUUCGGGUGGUAAACAGAUUUCGAAGGUGAUGAAGCGUGAGUGACGGUAACGGGUCAAGAAGCAACGGCUAACUACGUG